GCAAUUGAAGCUAUGUUGUAGCAUUGGUCUUGUAAAUCGAAGAAAAGGUAUUAUAUACCUCUAUUGCU
rnacentral:tRNA from 1 species